rfam:Oryza rufipogon genomic scaffold, chr04
AAAAAGACAAAUCCUGGGUUUCCGUGUCCAACGUUUGACUGUCCGUCUUAUAUAAUUUUUUUUAUAAUUAGUAUUUUUAUUGUUGUUAGAUGAUAAAACAUGAUUAAUACUUUAUGCGUGACUUAUCUUUUUAUUUUUUUCAUAUUUUUUUCAAAUAAGACGGUCAAACGUUGGACACGGAAACUCAGGGUUUGUCUUUUU